CGGUACAGAAGAUAGAAGCAAAAUGGCGGAUCAAAUAACAGACGAAAAGAGAGGAAAGAAGAGAAAGGCAAACUGGACGCAGGACGAAUGUCUGAUGCUGGUGACUAUGGUAAAUGAGAAGAAGAACAUCCUGAGGUCAAAGUUAAGUCCCAGCUUAACUUCAAGAAUGAAGAAGGAAGCUUGGGAAGAGUUGACAGUGCAGAGCGACUGAAUGCCUCCGCCGUUAAUACACAGAGGACAGUGGAGGAAGUGGAAAAGAAGUGGCAGAAUCUUUUGUCCACCUCCAAAGCAGAGAUUUCCAGCUAUAGGAAAACAACAAAUGGAACAGGCGGAGGACCUCCACCCAAACCCCUGAGUGCCAUAGCCGAGACAGUGCAGAUGGUGAUUGGGGAAGAAAAUGCCAUCAUUGAUGGAGUACAGGGAGGGAUUAACUCUUCCUUGCUUCAAUUGCUGACCAAUGAUGGGAACAUUUGUAAUGUUCAGAUUGUUCAGAGUGAACCUGUGUUCAGCACGACAUCGCCUCCUAUCAUACCCCUCUCACCAAGAUUGUCAUUGCCAGCUCCUCUACAUGUUCCUUCAGCCUCUUCCUCUGUGCCAGCAGGAAAUACAUGUACAAGAUGCGCCAAAGCCCAGACAGACAACCGCAACAGACAAAGUGAAAUAGAGGAAAUGACAAUUAGGAAACUUCAUCUCGAAAUUGAAUAUUAUGAGAUGAAAUUGAAAAAAUUGAAGGAGGAAUAGGUGAUGAUGAUCUGUAUUAAAUACAUAAAUCUCAUUAUAUGCAUUAAAUGCAUAAUAUGUAUAUAAUUCACAUAAUUGCAGAUCAUGUUUAAAACUGCAUUUGAUAUUUUUGUUCAUAUUUUUGUUUCAUAGUUUGGGACUCUGCCAAUAGGCAAAUGUCCUAUAGUAAUGACUGUUUGCCUGUGAAUCCUGGUGACUUUGAAAUAUUCUGUAAAUAUUCACUGUUUUUUAUACUGUAUUUUAGUACAUGUUCAAAUUAAGAAGUUGUUUUUGGUUUUAAGAAAAAAAAGUACUUAAACACAAAUAUAUUAUUGUUAUAUUUUAAUAAGAUAUCAAUGAAUGAAAAUUUCCGUGCAACAAUUAUGUCUCAAAAGUGAGUCACAGCAAACAGUUGUCUGUACAACGUCCCAUUGUUGUUGCCACGGACUGCUCCCCCAUCAUGGUGAUUCGUAUCAUCAUCCUCAGCAUCAUUAGGGUUUUCAUCUGGGUCUUCAUCAGGAAUUGGAAUUUGUCUAUCUUUACAUAUAUUGUGGAGCACGGCACAAGCUAUGAUUACUUGACAGGUCUUUUGUGGAGAGAGGCGUACUUCACCAUGUAAUACAUGGAAACGGCGUUUCAG